rnacentral:rRNA from 1 species
GACGAACGCUGGCGGCGUGCUUAAUACAUGCAAGUCAACUUGACUUUAGAUAGCAAUAUCGAAAAGUAGGGUGGCGCACGGGUGCGUAACGCGUAGGUAAUCUGCCCUGAGGUCUGACAUAACCCGUCGAAAGGCGGGCUAACAUCAGAUGAUAUAUAAUCACGACAUCGUGGAAAUAUCAAAUCUUCGGAGCCUUGGGAUGAGCCUGCGUCUGAUUAGGUAGUUGGCGGAGUAAUAGCCCACCAAGCCUACGAUCAGUAGCUGGUCUGAGAGGAUGAUCAGCCACACUGGAACUGAGACACGGUCCAGACUCCUACGGGAGGCAGCAGUAAGGAAUAUUGCUCAAUGGGGGAAACCCUGAAGCAGCAACGCCGCGUGAAGGAUGAAAUACUUUUGUAUGUAAACUUCUGUAAGAUGGGAAAAAUAUUCUCCUCGGGAGAAUUGAUUGUACCAUCAGAGUAAGCCCCGGCUAACUACGUGCCAGCA